GACGUGACUUCAGAGUUUGAUCCUGGCUCAGGAUGAACGCUAGCGGCAGGCCUAACACAUGCAAGUCGAGGGGUAGAGUUAGCUUGCUAACUUGAGACCGGCGCACGGGUGCGUAACGCGUAUGCAAUCUACCUUGUAGAGGGGGAUAGCCCAGAGAAAUUUGGAUUAAUACCCCAUAGUAUAAUAGAGUGGCAUCAUUUUAUUAUUAAAGUUCCAACGCUACAAGAUGAGCAUGCGUCCCAUUAGUUAGUUGGUGUGGUAACGGCGCACCAAGACGAUGAUGGGUAGGGGUCCUGAGAGGGAGAUCCCCCACACUGGUACUGAGACACGGACCAG
rnacentral:rRNA from 1 species